UACGUAGGGCGCAAGCGUUGUCCGGAAUUAUUGGGCGUAAAGAGCUCGUAGGCGGUUUGUCGCGUCUGCUGUGAAAACCUAAGGCUCAACCUUGGGCUUGCAGUGGGUACGGGCAGACUAGAGUGCGGUAGGGGUGACUGGAAUUCCUGGUGUAGCGGUGAAAUGCGCAGAUAUCAGGAGGAACACCGGGUGGCGAAGGCGGGUCUCUGGGCCGAUACUGACGCUGGAGGAGCG
rnacentral:rRNA from 1 species